AUUACGUCAUUAUGCUGCCAGUAACCAUUCUCCUACUCUCUUGAUGAGACCAAAUUCAUACCUUUUUAUUUUCCAUUCCUUAUAUAAGGUCAAGGCAAUUAAGCUAUAGUAAUUUCUCUUAACUACCAUUAUUCUAUUUAAUCUAGACCAUUCUAUUAGUUCAUGGCUCAGCCACAUAUAUUGAGGAAAAUAUCAAAAAUCUCUAUUAGAAGCCUCACGCAAAUUUUGAGACUCUCACACCAUUCUCUUGAUUUUUCAAGUCUCACGAUCAUCAUCUAUAGUCCAUUGAAAAUAUUUUAAGUCUCUCAAGUAUCUAUAUACCAUCUAUUUUCUUCUAUAUUUCAUGUAAGUCUUUCUAUACAUCCUUCUCUAUUUUAUCCCUUGUUUCACCUUGUGAAUCCUAAUUCUAUGUCAUUUUCAUUUUCCCUUGGGUUGUCUCCGUUAACCGUCGGAUCGUCGAAUCGAACCUUUGGAGCGUGAGAUAUCGUAUAUGCACGGUAGCUGCGAAUUUAAGAUAGUAUAGUGAUUGGAAGAAAGCACUUGAGGUCAAGUUGGUCUUGUUAAGGAAGUGGAGUUUCAUGCAUCAUAUAGGAUGUGUAUAGCAGAGUUCCUAUAGGUAGCCUUUGUGGCUUGGUUUAUUUUUAGCCUGUGUGGCUUGUUUAUUUUUUUAGCCUGUGUGGCUUGAGCCUUUGUGGCUGGUUUUACUUUUAGCCUGUGUGGCUGGAUUACUUUUAGCCUGUGUGGCUGGUUUUUCUCAUUGGUAUGAGACUUAUUAUCCGGAUCAUUAGUAUUUCAUAUAGUGUUGUCUUAGUCACAUUGCAUUCCAGAAAUGGAGAAAAAAAAAUAUACAAUAGUAAAUAAUUAUUCCGGUUAUUAUAAAAACAAAGAAAAAGAAAAAGGAACAAAAGAAAAAGUAUUGUUAGUCCAUGGUAAAGCGGUGAUCGUUGCUCCCUCAUCUUUCAUUUGAUUUUGCCGUACAAUUUGUAAUAUGUAUAAUUAUAUUGCCUUGUUUAUUACUGCUGUUUAACAAUAAGAUGCUACCUAUGUUUGUAUAUGUGACUCUUUUCACCCAAAAGUUUUUAUAAUAAACUAAUAAUUAUAUUUUCGAUAAGGUGAAGUGUUUUGUUAUUAUUUUAUAACAUUUUCUUGUGAUGUGUAUGAUUCAAUAUGGACCAGGAAAUUGACCCUUACAACCAACAUUUUAGGUACUCAAGGAGAAAGCUUUGAUUGAAUGUGAUGUGAUGCUUGAAGCGCGUACGAACGGGGAAAAA